rnacentral:lncRNA from 1 species
CUUUUUUACAUUGGCUAGAGGUAUAGGGGGAGGGUUGAGAUCUCACAAACAUGUUUAACCCCGCCGUAUUUUUGCGCCUGUCCCAAGUCAGGAGCCUCUGGCCUUUGUUAGUCUGGUAUUAUUUUAAUUUUGGUUUCUUGUGUACAAUUUGGAAAUUAGUAUGGCGUUCAUUAUCACUGAACUAGUAUAUAUUUGUUUAGGGGCCAGUUGAAGGACGCCUCCGGGUGCGGGAAUUUCUCGCUACAUUGAAGACCUGUUGGUGACCUUCUGCUGUUGUUUUUUUCUAUGGUCGGGUUGUUGUCUCUUUGGCACAUUCCCCAUUUC